AGAGUUUGAUCCUGGCUCAGGAUGAACGCUGGCGGCGUGCUUAACACAUGCAAGUCGAACGAACCUUCGGGUUAGUGGCGGACGGGUGAGUAACGCGUGAGAAUCUGCCCUCAGGAGGGGGAUAACGGUUGGAAACGACCGCUAAUACCCCAUAUGCCUACUGGUGAAACGAAUUUCGCCUGAGGAUGAGCUCGCGUCUGAUUAGCUAGUUGGUGAGGUAAUGGCUCACCAAGGCAUCGAUCAGUAGCUGGUCUGAGAGGAUGAUCAGCCACACUGGGACUGAGACACGGCCCAGACUCCUACGGGAGGCAGCAGUGGGGAAUUUUCCGCAAUGGGCGAAAGCCUGACGGAGCAACGCCGCGUGAGGGACGAAGGCCUCUGGGCUGUAAACCUCUUUUCUCAAGGAAGAAGAUAUGACGGUACUUGAGGAAUAAGCCACGGCUAAUUCCGUGCCAGCAGCCGCGGUAAUACGGGAGUGGCAAGCGUUAUCCGGAAUUAUUGGGCGUAAAGCGUCCGCAGGCGGCUUUUCAAGUCUGCUGUUAAAGCGUGGAGCUUAACUCCAUCAUGGCAGUGGAAACUGAAAGGCUUGAGUAUGGUAGGGGCAGAGGGAAUUCCCGGUGUAGCGGUGAAAUGCGUAGAUAUCGGGAAGAACACCAGUGGCGAAGGCGCUCUGCUGGGCCAUUACUGACGCUCAUGGACGAAAGCCAGGGGAGCGAAAGGGAUUAGAUACCCCUGUAGUCCUGGCCGUAAACGAUGAACACUAGGUGUCGGGGGAAUCGACCCCUUCGGUGUCGUAGCUAACGCGUUAAGUGUUCCGCCUGGGGAGUACGCACGCAAGUGUGAAACUCAAAGGAAUUGACGGGGGCCCGCACAAGCGGUGGAGUAUGUGGUUUAAUUCGAUGCAACGCGAAGAACCUUACCAGGGUUUGACAUCCUGCGAACCUCUUAGAAAUUUGAGGGUGCCUUCGGGAAUGCAGUGACAGGUGGUGCAUGGCUGUCGUCAGCUCGUGUCGUGAGAUGUUGGGUUAAGUCCCGCAACGAGCGCAACCCACGUUUUUAGUUGCCAGCAUUUAGUUGGGCACUCUAGAAAGACCGCCGGUGAUAAACCGGAGGAAGGUGUGGAUGACGUCAAGUCAUCAUGCCCCUUACACCCUGGGCUACACACGUACUACAAUGCUACGGACAAAGGGCAGCAAACUCGCGAGAGCUAGCAAAUCCCAUAAACCGUGGCUCAGUUCAGAUCGUAGGCUGCAACUCGCCUACGUGAAGUAGGAAUCGCUAGUAAUCGCAGGUCAGCAUACUGCGGUGAAUACGUUCCCGGGCCUUGUACACACCGCCCGUCACACCAUGGAAGUUGGCCAUGCCCGAAGUCGUUACUCCAACCCUUGUGGAGGAGGACGCCGAAGGUGGGGCUAAUGACUGGGGUGAAGUCGUAACAAGGUAGCCGUACCGGAAGGUGCGGCUG
rnacentral:rRNA from 1 species